rnacentral:piRNA from 1 species
UGAUCACCACAAGAAAACCUACGGGAAUCA